rnacentral:rRNA from 1 species
CACGUAGGCGGAUAUUUAAGUCAGGGGUGAAAUCCCAGAGCUCAACUCUGGAACUGCCUUUGAUACUGGGUAUCUUGAGUAUGGAAGAGGUAAGUGGAAUUCCGAGUGUAGGGGUGAAAUUCGUAGAUAUUCGGAAGAACACCAGUGGCGAAGGCGACUCGCUGGACAAGUAUUGACGCUGAGGUGCGAAAGCGUGGGGAGCAAACA